GACGAACGCUGGCGGCGUGCCUAACACAUGCAAGUCGAGCGGGGAUUUAAGUGGAAGUUCUUCGGAAUGGAGAUUUAAAUUCUAGCGGCGGACGGGUGAGUAACGCGUGAACAAUCUGUCCCGGACAGGGGGAUAACACUUGGAAACAGGUGCUAAUACCGCAUAAGACCACGGCCUCGCAUGGGGCUGAGGUAAAAGGAGCAAUCCGGUUCGGGGUGAGUUCGCGUCCGAUUAGCUAGUUGGUGAGGUAACGGCCCACCAAGGCGACGAUCGGUAGCCGGCCUGAGGGGGUGAACGGCCACAUUGGAACUGAGAGGCCGUCCAAACUCCUACGGGAGGCAGCAGUGGGGAAUAUUGGGCAAUGGGCGAAAGCCUUGCCCAGCAACGCCGCGUGAGGGAAGAAGGUUUUCGGAUUGUAAACCUCUGUCCUAUGGGACGAAGGAAGUGACGGUACCAUAGGAGGAAGCCCCGGCUAACUACGUG
rnacentral:rRNA from 1 species